CUACGGGUCGCUGCAGUGGGGGAUAUUGCACAAUGGGGGGAACCCUGAUGCAGCGACGCCGCGUGAGCGAAGAAGUGCUUCGGCAUGUAAAGCUCUAUCAGCAGGGAAGAAAAUGACGGUACCUGACUAAGAAGCCCCGGCUAACUACGUGCCAGCAGCCGCGGUAAUACGUAGGGGGCAAGCGUUAUCCGGAUUUACUGGGUGUAAAGGGGGCGUAGACGGCAUCGCAAGUCUGAUGUGAAAACCCGCAGCUCAACCACGGGAUUGCAUUGGAAACUGCGGAGCUUGAGUACUGGAGGGGCAGGCGGAAUUCCUGGUGUAGCGGUGGAAUGCGUAGAUAUCAGGAGGAACACCGGUGGCGAAGGCGGCCUGCUGGACAGUAACUGACGUUGAGGCCCGAAAGCGUGGGGAGCAAACAGGAUUAGAUACCCUGGUAGUC
rnacentral:rRNA from 1 species